UACGUAGGCGGCUUUGUAAGUUAGAGGUGAAAGCCCGGGGCUCAACCCCGGAAUUGCCUUUAAGACUGCAUCGCUUGAAUCAUGGAGAGGUGAGUGGAAUUCCGAGUGUAGAGGUGAAAUCCGUAGAUAUUCGGAAGAACACCAGUGGCGAAGGCGACUCACUGGACAUGUAUUGACGCUGAGGUACGAAAGCGUGGGAGCAAACA
rnacentral:rRNA from 1 species